UACAGAGGGUGCGAGCGUUGUCCGGAAUCACUGGGCGUAAAGGGCGCGUAGGCGGCGCGGUAAGCGUGCGGUGAAAGCCCGGGGCUCAACCCCGGGUCGUCCGUGCGGACUGCCGGGCUGGAGCACUGUAGAGGCAGGUGGAAUUCCGGGUGUAGCGGUGGAAUGCGUAGAGAUCCGGAAGAACACCGGUGGCGAAGGCGGCCUGCUGGGCAGUUGCUGACACUGAGGCGCGACAGCGUGGGGAGCAAACAGG
rnacentral:rRNA from 1 species